AGGGAAGAACAAGUGCAAGAGUAACUGCUUGCACCUUGACGGUACCUAACCAGAAAGCCACGGCUAACUACGUGCCAGCAGCCGCGGUAAUACGUAGGUGGCAAGCGUUGUCCGGRAUUAUUGGGCGUAAAGGGCUCGCAGGCGGUUUCUUAAGUCUGAUGUGAAAGCCCCCGGCUCAACCGKGGAGGGUCAUUGGAAACUGGGAAACUUGAGUGCAGAAGAGGAGAGUGGAAUUCCACGUGUAGCGGUGAAAUGCGUAGAGAUGUGGAGGAACACCAGUGGCGAAGGCGACUCUCUGGUCUGUAACUGACGCUGAGGAGCGAAAGCGUGGGGAGCGAACAGGAUUAGAUACCCUGGUAGUCCACGCCGUAAACGAUGAGUGCUAAGUGUUAGGGGGUUUCCGCCCCUUAGUGCUGCAGCUAACGCAUUAAGCACUCCGCCUGGGGAGUACGGUCGCAAGACUGAAACUCAAAGGAAUUGACGGGGGCCCGCACAAGCGGUGGAGCAUGUGGUUUAAUUCGAAGCAACGCGAAGAACCUUACCAGGUCUUGACAUCCUCUGACAACCCUAGAGAUAGGGCUUUCCCUUCGGGGACAGAGUGACAGGUGGUGCAUGGUUGUCGUCAGCUCGUGUCGUGAGAUGUUGGGUUAAGUCCCGCAACGAGCGCAACCCUUGAUCUUAGUUGCCAGCAUUCAGUUGGGCACUCUAAGGUGACUGCCGGUGACAAACCGGAGGAAGGUGGGGAUGACGUCAAAUCAUCAUGCCCCUUAUGACCUGGGCUACACACGUGCUACAAUGGACAGAACAAAGGGCUGCGAGACCGCAAGGGUUUAGCCAAUCCCACAAAUCUGUUCUCAGUUCGGAUCGCAGUCUGCAACUCGACUGCGUGAAGCU
rnacentral:rRNA from 1 species